AAUGAACGCUGGCGGCAAGCCUAACACAUGCAAGUCGAACGGGGUUAUAUAUAGCUUGCUAUAGUGUAGCCUAGUGGCAGACGGGUGAGUAAUGUAUAGGAAUCUACCUAGUAGUACGGAAUAAUUACUGGAAACGGCAACUAAUACCGUAUACGCCCUAUGGGGGAAAGAUUUAUUGCUAUUAGAUGAGCCUAUAUUAGAUUAGCUAGUUGGUAGGGUAAUGGCCUACCAAGGCUAUGAUCUAUAGCUGAUCUGAGAGGAUGAUCAGCCACACUGGAACUGAGAUACGGUCCAGACUCCUACGGGAGGCAGCAGUGGGGAAUAUUGGACAAUGAGCGGAAGCUUGAUCCAGCUAUGCCGCAUGAGUGAAGAAGGCCUUUGGGUUGUAAAGCUCUUUCAGUGAGGAAGAUAAUGACGGUACUC
rnacentral:rRNA from 1 species